rnacentral:tRNA from 1 species
GGGGCUGUAGCUCAGUUGGCCAGAGCGCUUGACUGGCAGUCAAGAGGCCGGGGGUUCGAGUCCCCCCAGCUCCA